UAAUAAUAAUAAUAAAAAAGAGGUGCCCCAAGAUGAACUCACGGCCCAGGAGCCAGAACACAUGCAACCCUAAGCUAACACCAGCGGCCUAAUGGAUGGCAGCAUGCCUGUACCCUUUUGCUCCGAUCCCCCGCAGGAGGAGAGAAAAAGCCAGUGUUCGGCCAACUCCAAGCGGAGCCCAGUAAAAGCCCCAACAAAUUGAGAGACUUAAAAAGUUGACAAAAAGAAGAGCAAUAAUUAUAACGGCUCAUUUUCCGCAUAAGAAGAACGCGAAAGUAUGUAAAACUAUAUCCCUUCCGCGCAAUUUGUAUGUACAAAUCAGCCAUCCAAAUUGUAGCUUUUUUUAAUAUGAAGUACACAUCAGCAUUCCAUGAAGUUGUUUUGUCAAAAUCAAGAGCAAGCCAAUUUAGACUGAAGACUUCUGCUAUACAUGGGACCAAGAAAAAUGGAAACCAAGGAGGUAAAAGUCAGCCAAAAAUUCAAGCAAUGGCUUUUCUUCAUUGAAUAUUAUUGUAUAAGCAAACUAGCACAUGCAUGCUUGAAAAUGGAGACAACAUUAAUGAAAUAGCUAAUGAUGCUUAGAGAUGCGGAUUUAAAGAUACCUUCGGCAAUAAAAGGAACCUUUCUUACCCAGAACGCGCCCUGUGCAACACUCAAAUUAUAUUUGGUUAAUAAUGAUGACAUUGUUUAACCUUUUAGACCAAAAACACCUGAAAUUUAAGCAACCUAAGAUUUUAGCCGACCUUUAUAAGGGCAAUAGCCACUGAAGUCCUAACACAUGCCCCACAAAUUCACCAUCAAUUAAAAACAAAAGUAGAAACGCAUCCAUUUCUCCACCUUCCUCAUAGAGAACCACCCACCCACUUUGGGGCGAGUGGUUGGCAUCAAAGAAAAUGAAUGACACCAUCCUCACCCGAAAAGGCCCCAUCAUCUUCUAUAAACUAAGAUCCACGUUUCCUACUGAAGCGGAAAAAAAAUCCACCCCCCCCCCCCAAAAAAACCCAUCACAGUCCCACAUUUGAUGAUCUUCCAAAUAAAGAUUGAAAGAAUCCAAAAAACAAUCCACUUAGCUAAUCAACAAUAUCCACAAGUGAGGUUCCACCACAUCAUGUGCUGUCCUUUCUCAAAUCCCUAAAAGAGACUCAAAUCAUUCACAAAGAGAGAAAAGUCUAAAAGCAAAGCAAUGUCUAUUAAACAUAACGUAAUGAUUAAGGCAACCAUUUGUAUGAAACCAAAAAAAACAAAGGUGUAGAAUUUAAUAUCUUUAAAAUUCAGUUUUACAUCAUCAAAGAAAGUAUAAUGGCUCCCCACUAUCUGAUCCCCACCCAUAACGCAUUCACAUCGGAACGCAUCAUCCAUUGAAGCUCUUGAAAGAUUUACCCUCCUCUCAACAUUUCUUAUAACAGUAAACAGAUCCAGAAAAUGGAAA
rnacentral:misc_RNA from 1 species